CAUAUUCUAAUUCAAAUUAUUAUUUUUUAAAACAGGCAUGCCACGGCCAUCUGAAGAGAUAUCAACCAGUACCACAACACCUAGCAGUGUUGGCCCUCCAGAUCCAAUGAGGAUAUGCACUGAGCCAAAGCAUUGUCACUGUAUCAACGGUAUCCCGAUCUGCUAUAACUCCCGGUGUGUCUGCCUGUAUGCGUCGGCGAUCGACAACUUACCGGCAAACGGUACAGAAAGCCUAAACGAAUCUCAGUAUCCAGACAGUCCUCAGUGAUGUUCUCAGCUUCAUCAGUCCUCAUCAUCCUGUCCGUCCUCAGUGAUGUUCUCAGCUUCAUCAGCCCUCAUCAUCCUGACCGUCCUCAGUGAUGUUCUCAGCUUCAUCAGUCCUCAUCAUCCUGACCGUCCUCAGUGAUGUUCUCAGCUUCAUCAGUCCUCAUCAUCCUGACAGUCCUCAGUGAUGUUCUCAGCUUCAUCAGUCCUCAUCAUCCUGACAGUCCUCAGUGAUGUUCUCAGCUUCAUCAGUCCUCAGUGAUGUUCUCAGCUUCAUCAGUUUUCAUCAUCCUGACAGUCCUCAGUGGUGUUCUCAGCUUCAUCAUCCUGUCCGUCCUCAGUGAUGUUCUCAGCUUCAUCAGUCCUCAUCAUCCUGACAGUCCUCAGUGAUGUUCUCAACUUCAUCAGUACUCAUCAUCCUGUCCGUCCUCAGUGAUGUUCUCAGCUUCAUCAAUCUUCAUCAUCCUGACAGUCCUCAGUGAUGUUCUCAACUUCAUCAGUCCUCAUCAUCCUGACCGUCCUCAGUGAUGUUCUCAGCUUCAUCAGCCCUCAUCAUCCUGACAGUCCUCAGUGAUGUUCUCAGCUUCAUCAGUCCUCAUCAUCCUGACCGUCCUCAGUGAUGUUCUCAGCUUCAUCAAUCUUCAUCAUCCUGUCCGUCCUCAGUGAUGUCCUCAGCUUCAUCAGUCCUCAUCAUCCUGACCGUCCUCAGUGAUGUUCUCAACUUCAUCAUCCUGACAGUCCUCAGUGAUGUUCUCAACUUCAUCAGUCCUCAUCAUCCUGACAGUCCUCAGUGAUGUCCUCAGCUUCAACAGAUUUCAUCAUCGUGGCAGUCCACAGUGAUGUACUCAUUUUUCCAUUUCAAAUAACAGAUGUGUAAAUGAUUAAGUGAAGCGUAUCACUAAUUAGUCCUGAUUUUGUCAUAUUUGUAUGCUUCACGUAUUCACAAUAAAGGAAAAUACAUAGCCAAAUUGAUUAAAAUUUAUUUUAUUUAUUUAUAAAAUCCAUAUUAUGAUUUUUUUAUUUUAUUUUAAAAUCCAUUUUUUUUUUAUAAAAUACAAAAUAUAUACAUAAAUGUAUCCUUUUAUACAUAUAUAUAAUACUACAUCAUAGGUACUAUAUCUCUAAACUGAAAGUAAUAGGGUCUACGAUAUUCACAUGGAAAAUAUAUAUCUAGUUUUCAGGGCAACCACAAUCUUAAUAUUCAAGGAGAUAUUGCCAUUUAUUUUCGGCAACUUACUAUUAUCUUACCGAUAAUA